rnacentral:rRNA from 1 species
AGCAGUAGGGAAUCUUCCGCAAUGGACGAAAGUCUGACGGAGCAACGCCGCGUGAGUGAAGAAGGUUUUCGGAUCGUAAAACUCUGUUGUGAGGGAAGAACAAGUACCAAGUAACUACUGGUACCUUGACGGUACCUCACCAGAAAGCCACGGCUAACUACGUGCCAGCAGCCGCGGUAAUACGUAGGUGGCAAGCGUUGUCCGGAAUUAUUGGGCGUAAAGCGCGCGCAGGCGGUUCUUUAAGUCUGAUGUGAAAGCCCACGGCUCAACCGUGGAGGGUCAUUGGAAACUGGGGAACUUGAGUGCAGAAGAGGAAAGUGGAAUUCCAUGUGUAGCGGUGAAAUGCGUAGAGAUGUGGAGGAACACCAGUGGCGAAGGCGACUUUCUGGUCUGUAACUGACGCUGAGGCGCGAAAGCGUGGGGAGCAAACAGGAUUAGAUACCCGGGUAG